AACUUAGUUCUAAACUUUCGGAUGUUUUAGCUAGGUGACAUAUCAUCAUUAAUAUACAUCAUUUUUUCUAAUAUAAGGUUUGUGAUAAUAUAAAAAUCUUUAAAAUGACAGCUUUGAAACUUUUUUGUUCUUACAGUGAUGGAAUGGGGAGAAGAUAUUAAAGCAGUUUCAAAAGAUGAAGCAGUGAUGUUGGUGAAUCAUCAGGCAACAGGAGAUGUGUGCACACUGAUGAUGUGCCUCCAGGACAAAGGACUGACAGCAAAUCAAAAGGCCUCCAGUGGAUAAUAGAUACAACGAUAG
rnacentral:lncRNA from 1 species